AUUGAACGCUGGCGGCAGGCCUAACACAUGCAAGUCGAACGGGAACAGAAAGCAGCUUGCUGCUUUGCUGACGAGUGGCGGACGGGUGAGUAAUGUCUGGGAAACUGCCUGAUGGAGGGGGAUAACUACUGGAAACGGUAGCUAAUACCGCAUAACGUCGCAAGACCAAAGAGGGGGACCUUCGGGCCUCUUGCCAUCGGAUGUGCCCAGAUGGGAUUAGCUAGUAGGUGGGGUAACGGCUCACCUAGGCGACGAUCCCUAGCUGGUCUGAGAGGAUGACCAGCCACACUGGAAGUGAGACACGGUACCGACUCCUACGGGAGGCAGCAGUGGGGACUAUUGCACAAUGGGCGCAAGCCUGAUGCAGCCAUGCCGCGUGUAUGAAGAAGGACUUCGGGUUGUAAAGUACUUUAAGCGGGGAGGAAGGGAGUAACGUUAAUACCUUUGCUCAUUGACGUUACCCGCAGAAGAAGCACCGGCUAACUCCGUG
rnacentral:rRNA from 1 species